rnacentral:rRNA from 1 species
CGGGUGAGUAAUAUAUCGGAACGUACCCAGAAGUGGGGAUAACGUAGCGAAAGUUACGCUAAUACCGCAUACGAUCUAAGGAUGAAAGCGGGGGAUCGCAAGACCUCGUGCUCCUGGAGCGGCCGAUAUCUGAUUAGCUAGUUGGUGGGGUAAAGGCCUACCAAGGCAUCGAUCAGUAGCUGGUCUGAGAGGACGACCAGCCACACUGGAACUGAUACACGGUCCAG